CUAAGAAAUGUUUUGCAACACUCAGAGACAGUUAGAUUUUCUAAGACAAACAUUAGAUGUAGAUGAUCUGGACAAUUUUUAAGCAUUUCUAAAAUAGUAAGUCUGCAAAGCUUUGUAGAUUGCCGGCAUUCCGGCUAUGAACAUGGUUGGAAGUUCUGAAUUUGCCGAAAUAGGGAAUUCUCAGUUCCUCUAGACCGCUCUGCCUGCAGCAUAGUUUGUCUCUAAUCGUUAUCGGGGGAUAUAUAUCAAAUUAUAUCUUAUUUGAUUAGAAAAAGAAGACAUAUCUACUGUUUUAAUCAGUAUACCUCAACAGCUCUCGUCCACGGCACAAUGGAGCACCGAGGGAAAAUACAACCCCCCCCCCCAAAAAGCUAUUUUCCCAGCUGACAACAGUAACGGUGUUGUCUGGGGGUGAGGGCACUACAGCAAGAGGCAUCUUCAAGGCUUGGCUGUCAUGGUCCUCGUUACCAUGGCUACCAUGUGGCAUGUUCAAGUAGUGAGACGGUAGAAACCCGAAAAAGGAAGGGAGCCUCUGAUCUUGUCAUCUCCACCCACCGUGAACUCUUCUCUACUUUCUGCUCAUAUAUGUCACAUAUAUGUAAAUAUAUGUAGGUAUAUAUGUAUAUUUAUUCACCCAUUCAUUCAUUCAUUCUUUGAGUAACUUUUGGCCUGUUUCUCCCAGUUGACACACAAUGUUUAUUUUUACCCAAAAAUGUAGAAAUGUAGCAGAGACAUUGUGGGAAUGUUGUGUGUCAACUCUGGGAUUGUCUCUUCCUCUCUUAACAAAGUAAUUGCAUGUCUGUGGUCAGGUGAACCUGUAGUCCUGUCUUUCGGUUAAGUGGAAAAUACUUUUUUUAAAGUCUGCAUUCAUGGCAAUUCCAGUUGAUAUUUCAUUCUGGGUCUUACUGCUAUCUCCACACCACUUCUCAUUCAAACAAGAAAAAAAAUAAAGAAAAAUGGUAUGCAUUAAAAUUCUAUGUACUUGUAUAAAUGGUGCAACAGUAAUAAAAUGUAAGAAAUUGAUUGAAAUUGCAG
ensembl:lncRNA